GAUGAACGCUGGCGGCGUGCUUAACACAUGCAAGUCGAACGAAGCAUUUGCGACAGAUUUUUUCGGAAUGAAGUUGCUUAUGACUGAGUGGCGGAUGGGUGAGUAACGCGUGGGUACCCUGCCUUGUACUGGGGGAUAGCAGCUGGAAACGUCUGGUAAUACCGCAUAGGUGCACAAUGUUGCAUGACAUGGUGUGAAAAACUCCGGUGGUAUAAGAUGGACCCGCGUCUGCUUAGCUAGUUGGUGAGAUAACAGCCCACCAAGGCGACGAUCAGUAGCCGACCUGAGAGGGUGACCGGCCACAUUGGGACUGAGACACGGCCCAGACUCCUACGGGAGGCAGCAGUGGGGAAUAUUGCACAAUGGAGGAAACUCUGAUGCAGCGACGCCGCGUGAGUGAAGAAGUAAUUCGUUAUGUAAAGCUCUAUCAGCAGGGAAGAUAGUGACGGUACCUGACUAAGAAGCUCCGGCUAAAUACGUG
rnacentral:rRNA from 1 species